rnacentral:rRNA from 1 species
AUGAUAAACUUUGUGCGUGCCCAGAUCAAGAAAGCAGCUGAUGAGACCGAGACUAUUCCAGAAACAACCCCGACUGGCAAAAGCGAUGGGGAAGGUGCACUUCGAGCAUUCAUUAAGCGCCAGGGCCAAAAGUUAAGGUGGCUAUCAAACCUUUUUGGUUGUCGUGACCCCGAGUAUGUAUCACCAGAACGGUCUAGGUCGGCGACACCAUCAGAUCCCACUUCGGGCCAGGGCCAUGGUGAUCCUUUGGAGGAUGAGGAUGUGGGUGUGAUCACCCAAGAGGUUGCUGAUGAUAUGACCUUGGGGACGUACCAGGUUCGGUCUGCAUACCAGUUAAAGCCUAGGAAGGUAAUCAAGAAAUACACACCUGCAGACUUCACCCAAAGAGGCAAAAGGACGGCCGGCACCUCGCGGAUGGCGGCUUUGGAUGACUAUUUGGAUGACGUGGAGGAACCGGAGCCGGAGCCGGAGCGGGUUCCUCUUCCUAGGAAGGUGAAGAAGAUGGGAGUCAAGAGGGGGGAGCCAAAAAGCGCUGAAGGAACUAGUCAUCGUCCUGUAUUUGUAAUGGUAGCUCUAUGUUGGUUGUAG